rnacentral:lncRNA from 1 species
UGCGCGCGUGAGGCGGAGCGGGGCUCGCCCCUCGCCGGCGCCCGCCGCCCCGCCGGUGAUCGCUCUCCGGCCGUCUCCAGCACCUUCGGCCCCCCACGGCCGUUGGUCCGGGCGGGGGAGGGAGAAAGUGAGACUCGGUGUCAUCACCAUCCAUUGUCAGGAGGGGAGGAAAUUGGAAUCCAGCAGUGGCGAGCAGCAGCUGGGCGGUCACAUCUGGGAAUGCAAAGCCGACCUCCCCCUCCUCCUCCUCCUCCACCACCUCCUCCUCUCUCACCCAGGAUCACUUCCGAAACCACUUCGCCUUCAGCCCCUGCCUCGGCCAGAGGUUUCAUUUUUAACUGAAUAUUUGCGAAAGCUGGAAGCGUGCGAGGGGGGUGGGGUGGGGUGGAAAUAGCGGCUGCUUCUUUUCCAGGGAUUUAUUUAAUGGGGAUGUGUUCAAGGCAAGAGCGAAUUCAGAAGGAUAUCGACGUCGUGAUCCAGAAGUCCAGAGCCGAGAAGGACUGCCUGUUUGCAGGU